AAGGCGAGGCACUCUAGACGAACUGCCGUUGACAAACGGAGGAAGGUGGGGAUGACGUCAAAUCAUCAUGCCCCCUUAUGUUCUGGGCUACACACGUGCUACAAUGGCCGGUACAGACGGACGCAAAGCCGCGAGGUGGAGCAAAUCCUAAAAAGCCGGUCUCAGUUCGGAUUGCAGGCUGCAAUUCGCCUGCAUGAAGUCGGAAUCGCUAGUAAUCGCAGGUCAGCAUACUGCGGUGAAUACGUUCCCGGGCCUU
rnacentral:rRNA from 1 species